CAGCCCUUAUUUUAUUUUGUCUGAUUUUUGGACUUUUAAAAUUUAAAAAGACAAAUACACAUACUGUAGUUUUGGUUUCAUUGAACAACCCUUUCCUCCGCUAGUCUUGUCUGCCUUCUUCCGCAUCUCUCUUGUCUUGAAUCCGUUAAAAACAUGAUUGAUCCCUCGCAGGCCCGGCUUAGAGGGUGUGCCGUUGGUGCUAGUGCACAGGGUUUAGUAGACUUACUAGGCCAAACAAUUUUUAGAGGUGGAAGUACACCACUUAAUUUGAUGCUGAUCGUCGGAGACAUCUCAAGACAUAUACAGGGUUAUUGAGGGCUAUUCGCGUUUUGGU